rnacentral:rRNA from 1 species
AGCGAACGCUGGCGGCAGGCUUAACACAUGCAAGUCGAGCGGGCCCUUCGGGGUCAGCGGCAGACGGGUGAGUAACACGUGGGAACGUACCCUUUGGUUCGGAAUAACGCUGGGAAACUAGCGCUAAUACCGGAUACGCCCUUUUGGGGAAAGGCUUGCUGCCGAAGGAUCGGCCCGCGUCUGAUUAGCUAGUUGGUGGGGUAAUGGCCUACCAAGGCGACGAUCAGUAGCUGGUCUGAGAGGAUGAUCAGCCACACUGGGACUGAGACACGGCUCAGACUCCUACGGGAGGCAGCAGUGGGGAAUAUUGGACAAUGGGCGCAAGCCUGAUCCAGCCAUGCCGCGUGAGUGAUGAAGGCCUUAGGGUUGUAAAGCUCUUUUGUCCGGGACGAUAAUGACGGUACCGGAAGAAUAAGCCCCGGCUAACUUCGUG